AAAGGACAAAGCAGCUUGAUAUACGAAAGCGAUUGCGCGCCAACAUCGGGAAUUUUCCUGUUCUGUGUUGUAAUAUAUGGAAGUGCUUCCGAUCGCAUGCAAAGAUCCCACGGAUAAGUAACAAUCCCACGGACGAUCUGAAAUGGUUGGAUUGAAGUUGAAUUUUCCGUUUAUCCAUUAAGACAUGAGCGAAUUUAGCUGUUGUUUACAAGGAAUAGAGACGGAGCUAUGUGGAAUCGAAGCUUCAGCAGCAAUGCAACGCGCGCGGUGUUGAAGGAGAAGAAAUGGGAUGCGCUCAUCGUCGGCGCCGGCCACAACGGUUUGAUAGCCGCCGCUUAUCUUGCCCGUGGCGGCCUCUCUGUUGCGGUGCUUGAGAGGCGCCAUGUGAUCGGCGGCGCUGCUGUUACCGAAGAGCUGAUUCCAGGGUUUAAAUUCUCUCGCUGUAGUUACCUCCUAAGCCUCCUUCGGCCCUCCAUCAUCAGGGACCUGGAAUUGGGGAGACAUGGGUUGAAGCUAUUGAAACCCAUGGCUGCAUCUUUUACACCCUGCCUCGAUGGUCGUCAUCUUCUACUUGGAAUGGACGAUGAACAUGAUUACUUGGAGAUAUCUAAGUUUUCAAGAAGGGAUGCAGAGGCGUACCCAAGAUAUGAAAGACAGCUUCAUAAGUACUGUAAGUUCAUGGAUUUUAUCUUGGAUUCGCGAACUCCUGAAGCAUUACAUAAGGGUUCAUCAUUUAAUGACCGGUUGAGAGAGAAGGUGCAGAACUCUAUUUUCUGGGGUCGUUGUCUCCAGCAUGCGCUAUCAUUAGGACAAAAAGAUAUGGUGGAGUUGAUAGACCUUCUAGUAUCACCAACUUCUAAGGUCUUAAAUGAGUGGUUUGAGUCGGACGUAUUGAAGGCAACACUUGCAGGAGAUGCCAUCAUUGGGACAAUGACAAGCAUCAAUAAUUCUGGAAGUGGAUAUGUCCUACUACAUCAUGUAAUGGGAGAAACUACUCAUGGUGACCGUAAUAUUUGGUCACAUGUUGAAGGUGGGAUGGGUUCGGUAUCCAUGGCCAUAAGUAACGCUGCCAAAGAAGCUGGAGUUCAUAUUGCAACAAAUGCAGAGGUUUCAGAAUUGAUGAUGGAAGACUCUGGUAGAUUAAAGGGGGUGUUGCUGGUGGAUGGGACACAAGUACAUUCAUCGGUUGUUCUAUCAAAUGCAACCCCCUAUAAAACAUUCAUGGAAAUGGUGCCUCAUACUUUUCUUCCAGAUGAUUUUCUACAUGCUAUCAAAUGUUCCAACUAUACCUCAGGAACAACAAAAAUAAACGUUGCUGUUGACAAAUUGCCGCAGUUCCAUUCUUGCAACUUGAAUAGUCAAGAGGUGGGUCCUCAGCAUACAGCAACUAUUCAUAUUGGUGCUGAAAGAAUGGAAGAUAUUGGCAAAGCUUGCCAAGAUGCCUGGAAUGGCUUUCCAUCAAGACGACCUAUUAUGGAGAUGACAAUUCCUUCCUCUCUGGACAAAACUAUAUCUCCCCCUGGUAAGCACGUAGUCAGUUUAUUUACGCAGUAUACGCCUUACAAACCUUUAGAUGGGUGCUGGGAAGAUGUUACAUACAGAUAUGACAAGAAUGGCACUCUUAUCUUUGUAGGAUUUAUAUGCCCAAAGAUGUUUCAAGUUGAUUGAUGAAUAUGCACCUGGUUUCAGCUCAUCAAUCAUUGGUUAUGACAUGCUGACACCACCUGAUCUUGAGAGGGAAAUUGGUCUGACAGGAGGAAAUAUUUUUCAUGGAGCCAUGGGUCUAGAUUCUCUGUUCUUGAUGCGGCCUGUAAAAGGAUGGUCAAAUCACAGGACACCAAUUAAAGGACUAUACCUCUGCGGUAGUGGGUCGCAUCCUGGAGGUGGUGUCAUGGGGGCACCAGGUCGCAAUGCAGCACAAGUCGUUCUUGGUGAUCUGCGUGAGCCAUAGCCUUUAGGAUUUUGUCCCGGUUUAUGCCCUCACAACACAGGUCUUGAAAUGUAAUCAGUAUCAGACCAUGUCAAGCUACACUAAGUAAAUUCCAUGGAGUUGAAGAAAAUAACGUGUAGUGUGCUGCUUUCGUUUGGUCUCUCUAUAGAAACCUCAACGAAGCAUUCACCUUUAUAAACUCAACAUUCAAUCAAUAUGAUUGAUUAAUACAGAAUAACAGAGACCCGAACCAAGCGGUUAGGUUUUCUA